rnacentral:rRNA from 1 species
UACAGAGGGGGCAAGCGUUAUUCGGAAUUAUUGGGCGUAAAGGGCGCGUAGGCGGUUCUUUAAGUCAGAUGUGUAAUCCCCGAGCUCAACUUGGGAACUGCAUCUGAGACUGGGGGACUAGAGUGCUGGAGAGGGUGGUAGAAUUCCACGUGUAGCGGUGAAAUGCGUAGAGAUGUGGAGGAAUACCAGUGGCGAAGGCGGCCACCUGGACAGUAACUGACGCUGAGGCGCGAAAGUGUGGGUAGCAAACAGGAUUAGAUACCCUUGUA